UAUAAACUGUCUCUUAAUUAUGAAUAGAAUUUAAUUUUUUUAUUAAAAAGUUAAAAUAAUUUAAAAAGACGAGAAGACCCUAUAGAGUUUUAUAAUUAAGUUAAUUAAAAUUAUUUAUUAAAAUAAAAUUAAAAUUAAUUUAUUUAUUUUGUUGGGGUGACAAAAAAAUAUAUAUAACUUUUUUUAAAAAUAAUAACAUUUAUAAGUGAUUAAAUGAUCCAAUAUUAUUGAUUAUAAGAAAAAAUUACCUUAGGGAUAACAGCGUAAUUUUUUUUUUUAGUUCAUAUAAAAAAAAAA
rnacentral:rRNA from 1 species